CUCAUCCCCUGGUAUAAGUUAUAAUUAGCAAAUAAGAUCAGUUAUUUUGGAUGUUACUAGGCCGUAUGAUAACUCACCAACGCGAGGUUACUAGACUCUGGGAUUUAUUGAGCAUGCAGUGUCAUUCCAUUCACAAGAAAAAGAAAGAAAGGAUUUACAGGUAUUUACAAGACAUACAAAUAAUUAUGUGACUGAAAAGCUUAUAUUAAUGUUUUAUAUCAGUUUUGCAUCUAGAUCUAUAUCAAAAUAGAAAAACAAUGAAUUAUUUUUAGAAUUUGAUUUUCAAACGCGGGCCAAAUUUCAUAACGCGGGCGGGCGACGGGAAACUGAACAUCGAGUUUUAGCGGCCAUAUCGAAUGAAAUACAAAAACAGAAGGAAAUAAUAUGGAGGUAAACGAGAAGAAAAAAAAUGACUGUAUCAUUAUCCACGUAUUUAUUGCAAUUUUAAUUACUUUAUAGACAAGGUCCCAUAGAAUUGAAUAUUGUAAUUAUGAUUGUUGUGAGUCGCCGUGUCGACCGACCUGGACUGAAAAACAACAUUGCCGAUCCUUGCUGGGCAGCCUGGGCUAUCGCUAGUUAUACGUUAGCGCGCUGAGCUGCGGCUCGCUAGCUAGCUCCGAUCCGAGGAGGUAAUUGCGUAAUGCUUUCAAUUCCGAGAUCAGAGCGCAUCCAUUUCGUGGUACGAAGUACUUAAGUCACCC